rnacentral:lncRNA from 1 species
CAACCGGAAGAACGACCCGUCCGCGGCAAUUGGUUCUACGGCCCUACGCAACCGGCAGCUGCGGCGGGCGUUUGGGGAGGGCGGCCUGCUGUGUGUGCCGUACUGGGAGUGGUACGGCCUGAAAACGUCUUCCGCUCAGGAGGCCUACCUGCUGCAGCAGCUGCAGGAUCUGCUAUCGGGCGCUUCGUCAGGAGCAGUAGCAGCAGGGGAAGGCAGCGCCGCCACCCCUCGCCGCAAGCAGGAGCGGACGACUCGGCCGCAGCCAAACACUGCCGGCCGCACCAGCACCAGCACCACCGCUGGCAGCAGCCAGAACAGGCGCGUCCUCGUUGUUGUCCGCAGGAAGGCGCGAAAGCAGCAGGAGGUGGCCUGCGGUGGUGGGGCGGGAGAGGCCUCGGAUGCAACAGUAGCUGCAGCGACGGUACCGGCGGAGGCUGAGGUGGUGGCCCCUGCCGGGCAGCAGCAAACGGAAACGGUGCAGCGGCUUCCGAACAGUGGCGCUGGUGGCGGUGCUGGCGAGGGCGGAGGAGACAGAGCUCCUCUGGCGCCGCAGCCACCACCACCGCAGCAGCCGCGCGUGUCAGCGCCCCGGGCGCGCCGCAGCAGCCGCCAAAGCCCAAGCCGCAGUAUUCAGGCGGGCUCGCCUCCUCCUUCGGUUGAGGCCCCGCCGCCGGAGCAGAUGCAGGCGGCAGCGCCACCCCGGCGGACCGCGGGUGGGAAGCGGACUGUGCGGAAAGCGGCGGCGGCUCCGGCAGCAGGUGGCGGCGGCAGUGACCCCGAGGCGGUGGUGGUGCCGGCCGCGGUCUCUGAAAAGCAGGCGGCGGUGGUGGCUGGGGAGGAGGGCUCAACGUUAGCAGACGUGGAGGGUGGUGGUAGUGGUAGUGGCAGGGGCGGGGGCAGCAGGCGGAGGCGGGCGGUGGGACCGGCAGGCGUGCGGCCUCGUCAAGCCUAGCAGCAGCGAGUGAACGAAAGGGGGCGGGGAGCAGUGACCUGGGUUAGUGGUUGCGGCACAAACGUGCACACGACUUGUGGUUUGCGCAGCGGUUUUCCUUGUGUCUUUUCCCAACGCACGUGUGUAAGGAGCAGUGAAUGCAACAUGCUAAGGCGCGGCGCGACGGGCGUUUGGCGUUGUGUGGUGCGAAUUUGGUGCGGUGCCCAGUACGGUGGGCAUCUGUGGUGACGGUCAGGCAGGUGAGCGGCCGUGAGGCCCAGUAGGGGUGGCCAUACAUGGGGUGCAGCGAGGGGCGGGGCAUGAAGCAGUGGAGUUGGGGCACACACACCAGCUACCUACCGUAGUGACACGUGCACACACGGCGCGUCAAAUGCGCCAAGUUUGAGGCAUGCCGCUUGUGUUUUGUGGGCAGAUGGUAGAGGGCUACGGGUCAGCGGUGGCAGUGGCCGGGGCCUGGGGCUUGUGUGUUGGUGGCGGCUGACGUGACGAGCAGGCGUGACGCUGGGGUGGCGCUGGGGUAGGCGGGGGAGAUGGAGAGACCCCUCCGCGUGUAGCAGGCCAUGGAUGGGCCCGGUUGGCACGAAAUACGCGACGCAGUAUGUGUGUACGGUAUUUGGUGGGGUUAACACCCAUCAGUACCGUACUCCUCCUAGAUGUGGAGGCCGCGAGGCUCACCGCUAGGUGCGUCGUCGGUACAUCAAACUCGUGCCAACAUCUACCUUGGCCCUGGCCCUCGGCCCUGGCCCUCCUCCAAGCCGAAUCUUAUCCAACAUCUCUAUCGUAUUGACUCUGGAAUGGGAAACGGGUGCACGACGGGGGCGGAAUGAGCGGCACUGACAGCCACGGGCAAGAGCGGGGUUGUUAGGCGUCGGCCGGGAGCGAGGUCGCAUGCUGGCGAGCCAUACAGCGAAAUUAGUCUCACACCUGCAUUCCUCACCUUUAACAUCGUUAUACGUAAUACCCCUUUGACCCUUGUUUGUGAUUAUGUCCUUGUUUGUCAUUCGCAGAGCUCAUGCAAGCUCCGUUUGCCUGCACAUGACACCGGACUGGCCCGUUGUUCCUUUCGUCCGAUCAACUUGUCUAUACUUCCAUGUAUAGUAUCAGCUAGCACUUACGUACUACGAGGCACUGUGGGCCUCAGCCUGCUGAGCCUAAAAUGUUACAGUCCGGACGCGGCGCCGCAGCGAGUAGACAUGGCUUAGGCAGCAGCUAUAAUGCUCCAGCAUCAGCACGCACAUGGCAUAGAGUGGCCCAAUGCGGCACACCGCUGACCCUGCCUCGCGCCGCUCGGACCGCCGGGCGCCUCGGCCCGUCGGCGACCGCUGGCGGUGUGGCCCGCGGCCUGGCGUGCAGCUCCGCAACCAGCGGCCCGGCGGCGGCAGUGCUCAGCGGCGGCGGCCCCUGCCUUUCCGCCACCGCACCUGCUACCACAGGGGCUGGCGGCGGUCUGCGGCAGCUACUGCCGCUAGCGGCCUAGGCCCGUCAAGCUGCACCAGCGCCCGCCACUGCCGCUCCUGCAGCAGCCGGGGCGCGCAGCUGUCUCCUGCAGCCGGGGCGGCGCGCGCAGCAUCAGGUGCUGGCGGCUGCGGGGAGGUAUGGCAGUGGCAGCACCAGUGACAAGAGCAGUGGCAGGAGCAGCAGCAGCGCGCGUGGCGGCAUCGGCGGCAGCCGCAGUAGCAGUGACGGUGGCGGCAGGGCGGGCAGGGGCAGGGCAGACAAAGGCCGUUGGGCUGGCGGCGGCGGGCGUGGCAGUGGUGGUGGCGGCAGGCCGCGUGACCCCGAAGACUUGAUGAUCGGGUAUGCGACUCUGGAGGCCCUGCAAGCAGUCAUUGAUCGGCGGCUGGCGGUGUGGUCAGAGCGGCAAGACGUGAGCACUAUGUCAGCUGCCUUCGGCCGUUGUGGCAAGGUGAGAGGUUGGCUUAGGGGCAGUGAAAGGUGUUUGGGUUUGCCUGUAAGCACGUGCGGGCGUUCCUGAUCGCAGUGCGAGAACUGACAACAUUCAACAACAACACGCACCUCCAAGCUUGCUUCUCACCGCCGCCAUAUCAAGUGAUCGGGGUAUCGUCCUUUCCCACUGCCCCCUCCCUUCCCUGCAACUUGAGUCCGCACGUGCCGGCGGGCCCACCGCCACAGCCGCGGCCCGUGCCGGCAUCAUGGCGGCCCUUGCGCCUGCUCUCCUUCCGCUCGUGCCGCGCAUCCGGCAGCCGGCCGACUGCAGCCUUCCGCUGUGGGCGCUGGCGAAGGCUGGGGCUGCCAGUGACGGGCGUGUGGAGUCACAGCUGGCGCCGGCACUGCUGCAGCGGCUGGUGGAUCCAGUGUUGCUGAAGACUGCAACUCCUCAAAACUUGGCGAACGCGCUGUAUGCCCUGGGCAAGCUGCGGGAGCAGCAGCAGCAGCGGGGCUCGGGCUGGGACCCCACCUCGUCGCCGCAUCUGAAUGCGCUAGCGAGCGCUGUGGUCUCGCGUCUGCAUGCGGCGGAGGGGCACGGCUUCAGCGCGCAGGAGCUUUCCAACAGCCUGUGGGCGUGCGCCAAGCUGGGGUACCGAGACUCAGACCUCCUGCUGCCGCUGGCGGAGGCGGCCGCAGCCCUUGCCUGCGGCAUGCGUGCGCAAGACCUGGCCAACAACCUGUGGGCGCUAGAGGUCCUUGGCUGCACCGGACCGGCGUUUCGGGCAGUGCUGGAGACGCUGUGUGGUGCGGCGCUGCGGCGGCUCCGGACACCGAAGGAAGCUGCAGCGUUCAUUCCGCAGCACCUGUCCAACAUCCUGCUGGCGCUUGAGGGGCUGCAGCUGCGAGGCAUGCAGGCAGAGCUGCUGACGGCAGCUGUUGCUGCAGAGUGCGUGCGGCGGCUAGGGACACCGAAGGAAGCUACAGCGUUCAUUCCGCAGGAGCUGUCCAACAUCCUGCUGGCGCUGGAAGGUCUGAAGCUGCGAGGCAAGCAGUCCGAGCUGCUGGCGGCGGCAGUAGCAGCGGAGGGUGUGCAGCGGGGGUUUGCCGGCUUCAACCCGCAAUGCCUCAGCAACUCGGCGUGGGCCCUGGCCAAGAUGGGGUAUGGGGCCAGUGCAACGUCGCAAGCCACGCAGCAGAGCCAUUGGUACGCGGCCGCGGCGGCAGCAGCUCAGCGGCCCGGGGUCAUGGCCGGCGCCAUGCCGCAGAACUGGGCCAACCUGCUGUACGCGCUUGCGUUGGUGCGCCACCAGCCGCCGCCCGCGCUGCUUGACGCAGGCGCCGCGGCGGUGAUGCAGCGAGGCAAUGCACAAGACUGUGCAAACACGCUUUGGGCUCUGGCGGUGCUGCAGCUGCGUCACGCCGGCUUGGAGGCGGCGGUGUGCGGCCGGCUGGGCGAACUGCUGCGGCUGGAGCCGGAGUCGCUUGUUGCACAGGAGCUUUGCAACAGCUUGUGGGCGCUGGCGGUGCUGGCAGGCGGCGGUGGCCCUGCUAGCCCGGCUGCAGCCACGCUGGCCUCGGCGCUUGCUCGUGAGGCCGCGCGGCGUCGUGAGGAGUUUCAGACCGAGGCGCUAAGUCAGCUCUGGCAGGCGCAACAUGCGUUGGGCGGCGAGGUGACAGAGGCUCUUGCCCGCAGCCCCGACCUGCUAGCCGCGAUGGAGGCGGCGGUGGCUGCCGAACGGGCGACAACGUCGAACACCAGCAGUACGCAGAAGCAGGUGGCAGAGGCGCUUCAGCGCCUGCUGCAGAAGGAUCUCCUGCCCAUUGUGUCCGUGCAGACGGAGGCGGCGGUGGAGGGCGUGCUGGGGCGUGUGGACAUUGUGGCGGACUGGAGCGAUGGGCGCAGAGUGGCCAUUGAGGUGGACGGGCCGGACCACUUUCUCACCAAUCGGAAGGACGACCCAUCCGCGGUAGACGGUUCGACGGUCCUACGCAACCGGCAGCUGCGGUGGGCGUUUGGGGAGGGUGGCCUGCUGUGUGUGCCUUACUGGGAGUGGGACAGGCGGAAGACUUAUUCCGCUCAGCAGGCCUACCUGCUGCAGCAGCUGCAGGAUCUGCUAUCGGGCGCUUCGUCAGGAGCAGCAUCAGCAGGGGAAGGCAGCGCCGCCACCCCUC